CGAACGUUGGCGGUAUGCUUAACACAUGCAAGUCGUACGUGAAAGCUUCCUUCGGGAAGUGAGUAAAGUGGCGCACGGGUGAGUAACACGUGGAUAAUCUACCCGAUAAUCUGGGAUAACAUUUCGAAAGGAAUGCUAAUACCGGAUAAGCCUACAGGGUCUUCGGACCUGGUAGGAAAAGGUGGGGAACUUCGGUCCUACUGUUAUCGGAUGAGUCCGCGUCCCAUUAGCUAGUUGGUAGGGUAACGGCCUACCAAGGCAACGAUGGGUAGCUGGUCUGAGAGGAUGAUCAGCCACACUGGAACUGAGACACGGUCCAGACUCCUACGGGAGGCAGCAGUGGGGAAUUUUUGCGCAAUGGGCGAAAGCCUGACGCAGCAAUACCGCGUGAGUGAUGAAGGCUCUCGGGUCGUAAAGCUCUGUCAGAGGGGAAGAACCUCCUGUCGUAUAAUACACGGCAGGCCUGACGGUACCCUCAGAGGAAGCACCGGCUAACUCCGUG
rnacentral:rRNA from 1 species